ACAUGAUUCUAGCAUCUGGGCUUGCCAGGGAUGCAGGGGAGCCCUGCCUGUCCAUGAUGCUGGCGCAGAAGGCCCUGAGCCUGGUGUUGCUUCUUUUCUCCAAAUUCUAUGUCUGGAGUGGAAGAGGCAAAGCUGCUGCUCCCAUAUUCUGGGUGCUCACACCCUCUAAAAGAGAUAACCCCAUGUGGACAGAGAACUAGGGAGUGAAGAGGCAUCAGAGUUCCUCAUACUUCCCUUCCUAAAAAAGAGAAAGGUGACUCAGAGAUGACAAACACCUGCCAUAAACUAGGCACUGCUGAUGUUACCUACUUUACCCUCCACUGGAUUUCUCCCAUUUGGUUAAAGUGAUACUAAAUCUUCAGAGAGGUUAGAAAUUUUCCCAAGGACACACACACACACACACACACAC
rnacentral:lncRNA from 10 species